rnacentral:rRNA from 1 species
AGUACGGGCGAGUGAAGUGGGAAAAGCUCAACUUUGAAAUCUGGUACUUUCAGUAUCCGAAUUGUAGUCUCAAGAAGUGUUUUCUGUGCCGGUCCAUGUAUGAGUCUGUUGGAACACAGCGUCAUAGAGGGUGACAACCCCGUUCAUGACAUGGAUCCCGGUGCUUUGUGAUACACUCUCGAAGAGUCGAGUUGUUUGGGAAUGCAGCUCAAAUUGGGUGGUAAAUUCCAUCUAAAGCUAAAUAUUGGCGAGAGACCGAUAGCAAACAAGUACCGUGAGGGAAAGAUGAAAAGCACUUUGGAAAGAGAGUUAACAGUACGUGAAAUUGUUGAAAGGGAAACGAUUGAAGUCAGACGUGCGUGAUGCGGUUCAGCUUUAGUUCGCUAGAGUGUACUCCGUAUCUUUGCAGGCCAACAUCGGUUUUGUUAGUCGGAUAAAGGUUUGAGAAAUGUGGCACCUUCGGGUGUGUUAUAGUCUCAGACUGAAUACGAUUGAUGGGACCGAGGAACGCAGCGCGCCGCAGGGCAAAGGUUCCGACCUUUUCGCGCUUAGGAUGUUGGUGAAAUGGCUUUAAACGACCCGUCUAAA